CGUUACUCCUCUCUGAAAACCCUGGUGAUGUAGUGGUUAAGACCUAUAGCUUCUAACCAGAAGGUUGGCAGUUUGAAUCCACCAGGCACUCCUUGGAAACUCUAUGGAGCAGUGCUACUCUGCUGUAGGGUCGCUAUGAGUUGGUAUCGACUCGAUGGCUUUGGGUUUGGUUUUUGCUCUUCUCUACGUGUAGGGUCAACCCAAGGUAAUUUUAUUUCUGUUAUUACACAAAUAUAACAAUAAUGGAAAGGGGAAAAAUCAACCAGAAUCUCACUUUUAUAACAUAUCGAACUGUAUUUUUCACACUUCCUUCCAGUCCUUGCAUAGAUUAAUGCAUAAUUUUUACUUAAUUUUAAAAUAGACAUCAUUUUAAAAAUGAUGUCUGGUUUUUUCAUUCUGUCAUAAGCAUUUUAUAUGUUGGUGGUUGUGAUGGUUAAGAUUGUGUGUCAACUUGGCUUGGCCACAAUUCUUAGUGUUUUGGCAGUUGUGUAAUGCUGUGAUCACUUCACUGUUGACAUUUGAUAUGUGAUUAUCCCCAUGAUGGGAUCCGCUGUGAGUAACCAGUGAGUUGAAGGGGAGUUUUCCUUGGGCGUGUGGUCUGCAUCAAGUGUGGGCGGACAUUCUGGAAAGGCUCCGGGGCUUUUGCUUAUUCUGGAUUCUACAGCCGGCUGCUGUUGUCUGACCUGCAGUUCUUGGGACUUGAGCUAGCAGCUUACCUGUGGUCUUGCCUGCCAAUCUUGGGAUUCAUCAAUCUUCACAGCCUGUGAGCAACAGCCCUGCUCUCUGGCCUGCUGAUUUUGGGUUCACCAGACCCUGCGGCUGCGUGAAUCAGGAGAAGCCUGUAUCCUGACCCACGGACUUGGGAUGUCACAGCCUCUACCAACCAUAUGAGCCACUUCGUGAUACAAAUCUCUCUCUCUCUAUGAUCUCCCCUUCCUCAAAAAGGGACCCAAAGGAGAGAAGAUGGCCACUGUGCCAGGAACUAGUGACUUUUCAAGAUGUAGCUACGUACUUUACUUAGGAAGAGUGGGGGCACCUGGAGCCUGCUCAGAGGGACGUAUAUAGAGAUGUGAUGCUGGAGAACUACAGAAAUGUGGUCUCUUUGGGAAUGCCGGUUUCCAAGCCUGACGUGAUUGCUUUCCUGCAAUAAGAGAAAGAAUCAUGGCUACUGAAGAAAGAAUUUCCUACAGAUACCUGUUCAGAGUGAAAUCUUCUGAAUGUAAUGGAUGGGAAGUCUUCAGAGAGACUCUAACCUGUACUCAGAGUCAGAAAAUCCAUAGUGGAGAGAAGCACUUUAAAUGCAAUGACUGUAUGAAAACUUUCAGCCAGAGUUCAUGUCUUAUUAAACAUCAAAGAACCCAUACUGGAGAAAAGCCCUAUGAAUUUAAUGAGUGUGGAAAGUCCUUCAGCCAGAGCUUAUCACUUCUUUAUUAAACAUCAAAGAAUACACACUGGAGAGAAACCCUAUGCAUGUAAAGAAUGUGAAUAAGGCUUAGGAGACCUGUUAGCUUUUAUUCAGCAUCGGCGAAUACAUACCAGAGAGAAACCCUAUAAAUAUAAUGAAUGUGGAAAACCCCUUUGGUCAAAGAUCAUCCAUUACUCGUCAUCAGAGAACUCAUCAUGGAGAAAAGCUCUAUAAUUGUGUUGAAUGUGGGAAGCCAUAUGGAGACCAUUCUGUUCUCAGAAGUCAUUAUAGAACUCACACUAGAGAGAAACCCUACCAGUCUAGUGAAUGUGGGCAAGCCUUCAGUCAGAGUUCACACCUGACUAUACAUCAAGUAAUCCACACUGGAGAGAAGCCUUAUGAGUGAAAUGAAUGUGGGAAGGCCUUUAGUCAGAGUUCAUACCUCACCAAACAUCAAAAAACUCACACUGGAGAGAGGCCCUAUGAAUGUAGCCAGUGUGGGAAGGCCUUCAGCCAGAGUUCACACCUUACCACAUAUCAGAUAACCCACAGUAGAGAGAAGUCUUACGGGUGUAAUGAAUGUGGGAAAGUCUUUAGCCAGAUUGCAAGUUUCACCGAGCAUCAUGAGAAUGCACACUGGAGAAAGACCCUAUGAAUGUAGUCAGCAUGGGAAAGUGCACAAACAUUUGCUAUCACACUUUACCUAGAAUCUGUGAAUGUGAAGAAUGUAUUAAUGACUCUGGUAAGAUGAACCAUUCCCAGAGAUGCAAGAUUUCACUGGUAACACAAGGAAAGUGUCAUUAAGACUUGACAUUUUAUUAAAGGUAGGCAAGUUAAUGUCAUAAGCAAAAGACCACCAAAUAAAUUUUGUAAGAUACUUAAAGACAGGUAUUGUGUGAUUCUGAUACUCCUUAGUAACUUUUCCCCUCUUAGUAGUUUUUUAUUAAGUCUUUGUACAGAGAGUUCAUAGUAAAUGCUUGUGUCAUUCAUUGAUAAAUUUUUUUUUUUAAUCAGAUUUGUUACCCUCUUGUUCUCAGAAAAUUUCUGAGGCUUUUUAAGAUAGGAAUACAACAACUGAAAAUAGAUCCUCACCCCCCCUCAAGAAAGAAUUUUUUUAAUGUUUUUAAUUGAGCAGUGCAUCCCAAAUUCUGUAUAAGUUCUGUUCAGAGAAGCCAGAAAUCUAGGUAUUUAUUACAUAGGUCUUUUCAAGCGUGAUACAGACAGUGUGAGAGGACCAGUAGGAGCAAAGGGUACCUUUUAAAUAACUGAUCUCUUUAAGAGAGAAAUUCCAUCACGAUUGUUUUUUUUCACUUCCACAUCCUCAACACCAAAAGAUGUUUUUCUAAGGGAAAAAAGACACAUGGGAAGAGAGUGAUUUUCAAAAUUUGUUUCCCAAGAAUAAAUUUCUGUGGGAUGCAAAUACAUACUCUCUGAAGACUAUUUCCUCUCCUUUGAACAUACCAGGGAACAGUCAGGAAAAGAUUACAGAAAACACAGAUAUUUCAGAGCCUGUUUCUUACUACUUGACACUUGGUUUACAAAAUGAAUUAAUCCUAGUUAUCCAUAUUAAAUGAGAUCAUGUCAAGAGAUGGGGCCUUAUGUCCAAAGUUGAGAUUAUGAUAGAGUUUCCUAGAGAUACUUGCACCAUAGUAUGAAGCCAUAAAUGACCUAAACAUGAUGGAACUGGGAAACUUGACUUAUUUUCCUGUCACAGAAAUGUUCUGCCCCCCACCCUUUUUUAUUUUAUUUAGUUGUAAUUGACCUUUAAUGUAAGUUUAAAUACAAUUUAAAAUAUAUUGUAAAUUUUAUGGCACUUUAUUACAACAGUUAUAAUACAGCCAAACAUUGGUAAUAGUUAUAGCAACAGUAUACUGAAAUUAUUUUGAAAUCUUUAGGCCAAUAUACAGUGAUAAUAAAUGACAAAUACAGAUCAAACUUCAGUUAACUUCUAAGCCAUCCAUUCAUGGGUUAAUUUCAUUUUGGUUCUUUUGGUACAACUCUUAACAGCUGGUGAUCUGGGCGGCUGAAGUAUAUGAAAGUCAAUGCUGGUUUUCAUUUUCAGAAUCAAUUAAAGUUUGUUACAAAUGCCAAGUUAGUUGUAAAUAAAGUAAUUAUAUACAUUUUCAUUAUAGAAUCUAUGAUUCAAAAAUAUUUUUCUUUAAUGAAGAAUUCCUUAUUUCAUAUAUGUAAUGGGAAAUCAUGAAAAUGUUAUGUAUAGGAAUGUUGACUGCAAAAGAACACAAAAGAGCUUCCUGGGGAAAUUUAAAUGUUCUAUAUCAUGCAUGUGAAAGCUGGACAAUGAAUAAGGAAGGCUGAAGAAGAAUUGAUGCCUUUGAAUUAUGGUGUUGUUGAAGAAUAUCAAAUAUACCAUGGCCUGCCAGAAGAACAAACAAAUCUGUCUUGGAAGAAGUACAGCCAGAGUGCUCCUUAGAAGCAAGGAUGGCGAGACUUUUUCUCACAUAUUUUGGUCAUGUUAUCAGGAGGGACUAGUCUGUGGAGAAGGACAUCAUGCUUGGUAGAGGGUCAGCAAAAAAGAGAAAGCUCCUCAAGGAGAUGGAUUGGCUCAGUGGCUGCAACAAUGGGCUCAAGCAUAGCAACAAUGGUGAGGAUGGUGCAGGACUGGAUGGUGUUUUGUUUUCUUAUACAUAGGGUUGCUAUGAGGUGGAACCGACACACAGCACCUAACAACAACAACAGUAUCAUAACUGGGGCUGGUGGUUAUUCGGGUGUAUACAUUUGUCAAGUCAUCUACCAGUAUACCUAACACGUACACAACAAUAAAGUUAGUAUUUGAAACAAAUAUAAAUGGCCUGUUCAAUAAGUUUCUAUUAUUUUUGAGAUCAUGUAAUUUUUUUGGAAUCUGUACACCUUGAGAAAGAUUUGAAAGUUUGAGUUCACCCAGAGGUACCUGGGGAAGAAGGGCCUGGUGAUUUACUUUUGAAAAAUUGAUCAUUGAUAACCCUAUGGAAAACAGUUCGACUUUGAUACACAUUAGGUCACCAUGAGUCAGAGUCUACUGGAUGGCAACUGGCUUUUUUAAACUAUAUCUAUUUGAAAAUCUACAAGAUCUAGA